CCUGUGGUGGUGGUAGCUUUCAACUGAGACCUGACUCAACAGUCUUAGUUGCAAUGGUCUUUGGAAUAUUGCAUUAGUGAGGGGCCUCUACUCUUACUGAGGUAGUGCAAAGAUGAAAGCCAGCUUUUUUGUGUCUGGAAUGUUUUAGGGCAUAAGUGGACUGCUUAAACUCAUAGCCCACCUGGGCUGUUUCAGCUGAAUUUUUGGUCUCUGGUUUGACAGGAGAGAGCUCUGAUGCUGUUCAUGUGUCAAAAAACCCAGAUGCUGAAGCGUCAAUAAUGGAGCUUCUAAUUGUGGUCUCUGAACAAAUAUGGCUUCGUACCAAUAAAAAGUCUAGUUCUAAGACUUACAGCUGGAUUAUACUUGUUGUGAUGAAGUCCACGUUAAGGAGUCCUUCGUGCAUACUUGUGUGUGGAUUCUUUUCACUAAAUAUAAAAGAUUUUUGAAUCCUAAUGCUCUUCUAAAACGAGCUUUUUGUCCUGUCUUGUAUAUCUAGGACUGAUGCAAUAUUCUACUAAUCAUUGUUUGGGUGAAAGGACAGUGUAAUUGGAUGUCCCUGAAGUUGCAAAUGUCUUGCACUGUUUCAAUACUACAGUCUCCAGAUGAUGAUUCAUUAGUUAGCCAGCUAAAAUGUAGAAUUUUCUUUUUAAAGAUGUAAAUGAAAUCAAAGAAUGUAAAAAUCCUUUGCCAUGUCUAUUGAACCUUCCUUAUGCUAAAGGUCCAAAGUAUUCCAUUACUUUAAGAAUGGGUCACAAUGUAAAAGGUGAACUUCAUAUUGUUUUGCUAGUCAGCUGCUUCUAUUCUUGGUUAUGUUGAAAUAAUUUAUGAAAGAAGGAGUAACAACCUGAGAAGAAAGCAUUCAGUCUAAACUCUGUGUUUGCACUUGGGAGCAGCAGCUUGCUUUUCAUGCAUGAUACUGUUAACACACUCUUUAAAAAAAAAAA